GCCGGGCGUGGUGGCUCACGCCUGUAGUCCCAGCUACUCGGGAGGCUGAGGCAGGAGGAUCGCUUGAACCCGGGAGGUGGAGCUUACAGUGAGCCAAGAAUGCGCCACUGCACUCCAGCCUGGGCAACAGAGUGAGACCCUGUCUCAA
rnacentral:SRP_RNA from 1 species